UCAAGCCUUGGAGAUUUCUAAUAAAAC
rnacentral:sRNA from 1 species